AGUUCUUGCUACGAAGUGGCUGUCCAUCACGUAUAUGUAUUGCACCUAUAGUUUAGUGGUCAAAUUAGCUCUGCUUACAGUGGUCGCACACACAAUCUUGUGUAAAUUUAUUCUGUCAUUGCCGUCGUAGAGAAGGUAGCGAAGACAGGAUGGAUAUCCUUCGGCAGAAAUGUAACCCGACUGGCCAUCGCAGGUUAGCGAGAAGUAAUGUUCUUCGCUUGACGACAACGGAGUAACCCUUAACUCAAUUGCAGACCACACGCACCAGUGUUGUGUUCGAAGUCGCGUGUAUGGCGGCAGGUUCGUGGUCCGGGAUUUCUAGUCUGGUUAGUCAAGAGCAACGGUACGAUUAAUGAUUCCAUGGGAUACAUCGUGAGUUCUCGUGCGUGUAGAGUUCCCUUAGCGACAUCGACAGGGCCGUCGCCAGUAUGCGAAGUGGUCAACAACCAGUAUUCUCAAGCUAUUCAAACGACGAAGAGCUUACUUGAGACCCUCAUACGAAACCACAGCCUCAUUAGUCUUGAUUACACACCGCUCGAAACCUAUGCGAAAGAACAGUCUGUUCGACUUGGCCAUGAUGUACUCAAACGGCUUAACGCUUUGGUUCUGUCGAGGGAUGACGUGAAGGAGCACAUCGAGAAUAUUGUAGCGUCCUUUAAGCUCUAUCAGAGUCGAUAUUCACUAGAGGGCGCUGUUAUGGCGAUGAAGUGCCUACGAGUCUUCAUCGCUGCCAUUGGCGAUACGUGCAACUUGCUAGAGUACACUGCUGGUCUUCCGUCAACAAACUGGGGGGAAUGCGUAAAGCUGUGCGAAGCACAACUUCGAAGCUUUCGAAUCCGAUCGGCUUUCAGCCCACUUGAAUAUAUUCCAAAGAUACAGGAUUUUCGGUGCGUUCGAACGCUUGGUGGCGGAGGAUUCGGUGUUGUUUACGAAGCUAUCCAUAUACCCACUGACGUAAGAGUCUGCGUAAAGCUCAUUAUCACGAGCCGCCUGAAACGGCUUUCAUACGCGGCACUCGACAAAAUUGUCGCAUCGGUGUCGGAGCAUCCGAAAAUCGUUCAGUAUCAUGCUUCGUUCCUCACAACGGCAGCGUACGUCACUGUAAUGGAAUACGUGGGUGGUAUUGAUGUCCUUAAAUAUGUGCAAGCAAUGGGUGAGAUCAUACAAUACCCGGAUCAAUACUGUAUUAUUCUCAAUCAGAUGGUAAAGGCGGUUUCCCACAUUCAUGCGCACGGCUUUAUACAUCGUGAUAUUAAGCCACAAAACGCGCUCCUCCUGCCGGGUGGCCAUAUUAAGCUAAUCGAUUUUGAUACAUGCAAGAUAUGUAUUGCUCAUUUCGUAGACACGUACCCGCUAACCGGUUACUUUGCACGAACCGCGGUCGAAUUCGAGGACAGGGACUAUGCUGGUACGCUGGCCUUUAUGCCACCGGAAAUCAUUAACCACAAGCCCUACGGUCGCGCCGUUGACUGGUGGGCUAUUGGGGUAACGGCGUAUAGGUUGGUCACUGGCAAGAUGCCAUACCGUGAGAAGGAACGUUCUAAACUUAGAGAAUCUAUUCGAAAACACCCUAUAUGUAUUCCCGAUUUUGUCGGCACAUUUGAAAAGGAUUUCAUUGCUCGCCUGUUGAUCAAGAACCCGCACGCCCGUCUCGGCUCGGAAAAUUACGAUGAGUUGAUUCAGCAUCAGCUGUUCGACUAUUACAACGCCGAUAAGACGCUCGACGAAAGUUAUUUUGACACUGCUCGUGUGCAGGAGCUAGUGAUGCAAAAAAAAGUUUCAAAAAAAAUUAGAAUCAAAACCAAAGAAAGAAAGUACCUCGAGCUAAAGGAGUGUGCGAGCAUACCCAUGGAAGAUCAGAAAAGUUUACUGAUGUUUGCCUCCAUCAACUGGCGUAUGCUUUUACGGCCAGAUGAUCCGGUUUAUCCAUUUAAAACUGAUCUAGAUGCCGAACAUGAUUUGGAGCUGCUGUUGGAGACCCCCGAGCCACUGGCGGCCGACACCUACCCAAGCUCUUGGGGUUCGACUGACAUUUGGUUACAAUCAGAUAUAAAUUCGUCUACUACCAACUACACUCACCCGUCGAAUUCUCUUGUACUCAAUAGCCGGCUCAAAUGCCCACUUGACGAAUACAUUAAAUCCAACAUUACCAAUCCUAUUGUUGAGCCUACAACGUCGGCGCCUACUUUUAGGAAGCGGGAACCGACAAAAAAGCGGCGAAAGAAACGCACAUGUGUGAUGGCGUAAAUGCAGUGGCGUUAUUGGGGCGGUUUUAGGAGUGGGGAAGACACAGAACAGAACAGUAGCAACCGGGAUCGUAGAAAAAUGGCUACCGAAUCAAGUUUGCCUGGUUGAUAUCAGUCGCCUACGGAUACAGCGAACAUUAUUGAAUUUAGAAGACUUGGGAGCGGUCACUCGCGAAAGAGUUCCAAUGUGGCAAAAAUUAACCAAUAAUGGGGCUGAUCAAGCGGUCAGCGGAUUCGUCGAUGUGAGCGAUGGAUUCAAGGGAUGAAUUACCAAUUAGUCAAGUUAACCUGCAGUUGAUUGAGGCGAACAAGAAAAUUUAGGCUCAAACCCGGACAUAGAGAGCGAGACGUCUGUCUGAUGGACAACUUAGCGACCCUACCGGACGUAAAACUCGAAACACAGCGGCUAACAAGGACAGUAGUUUUUGGAAUACUGAGGAAUAUCUCUGUGAUAAUAUUUGUACCGAAAGCAUGGAUGAUUACGUUCAAAUUGAGUCGUCUUAAAUAUCGAGAUACAUCAGCGUUUCUUUAGAGUUAGUUCAGAAAGGUAUUAUGGCUAGAUGGAUUUAGGUCGGUCGAAAAUUGUACUAUGUUGUUUUAGUUAAGAUUCGUUAAUAUUACCGAUGUUUGUUUGCUUCAUCCAGGUAGUUUGUGUGAGAAAGCUAUGGGCUGGGGUGUGAUGUAUUGCCCGUAGCUUGAUUUGCACCCAGCCUCACAUGGUUGCCUAUCAACAACGGUUGACGGCCAUAUGCCGUAAGCACUGGCCACUUCAUAGAUCUGUAGGGAAUCGACCAAUAACUCUAUGAUAUCGAAUUAAAAUGCCAUCGAAAGCGGUACCAACAUCGUACCGGAAUACCAGACCGUCUACUUGCCCGCGCCCAAAAUAAUGAGUUCUCGACGAUGAAGUUCAACACCAGCCCUAAGUCCCCCAGGGGUACCACUAGGAAGUCAGCCAGCCGUCGGUUGUGUACAGUCGUACAUUAACUGAUCGACUUAGAGACUGCGGCUGUAGCUGACUAUAUCUGAGACUAGCCGUUGGUCGCGGAAUUAAUGCAGAACGCCAUUUUCAGCAAGGAACUUGUAGCUUUACACCGAUCAGAAGAGCUAUAGUCAAAGGCGAGUGAGGCAAAAACGGCAAGAAUAUAGUAAACGAUCGGUUAAGAACGCACAUUGCAUCCAUAUUGUUCAUAUAGGCAACAGAGUAAGCCAGCAUUAGGGUUAGGU